rnacentral:lncRNA from 1 species
CGGGAUUCGGUCCCUGCAGGGAGGGGGCCGCCGCGGGAGCGCGCCUCGGCCCCUCGGGUCUUCGGAGCCAAUGCGGAACCCGCCCCCAGCGGUGGGGGUCUGCCCGGGGAAGCCGGCUCUCCGCCUGCCGACCUAGCCCUGCCCUGCGGCCCCGGCAAACAGAGAGGUCGGCGGAGACCCGGGGCCCGCUGCCACCGCGGGUGCCUGUGAUCCGGGAAGUUCCCGCCCCGAGGGCAAGCGGGGGCUCAGGGACCUGGAGUCCAGAAGGUUCUUCGCAUAAGUGAAUUCUCAAGCUACCCCGGGGCCCAUCUGGAGCCAACCUUCCUCUUCUUUCCCUACCCCCCAAAUGCCUCUUUAGAGUGCCAGUGCUUUGUUGCUUACCAAAUUUCUAAAAUUCCAUUCCUCCUAAGGCCUAGCUCAGCUGCCACGUCCUAUCUGGAUCAUGCCCCCCACAACCCCGAGACCAUCUUGAACCCUCCGGCAAGUGAGCGCCUCCACUGGUGCACUUAAACACCAACAGUAGUACAACAGCAGCGCAUGACUACCCUCCCCACAGGCUGGCAAAUGCCCAUGGGAGCCAGUGAUCCAGCCUGCUCUAGUCUGUCAGAAAGGCUGCUCAGGACCAGAUUACAACCUGGAGAAAGUAAGUCCCCCCAUCCCACAUACAAAUCCCAAACCCCAGCGACUAGUGUUGCUUGAACCCAAGGGUUCAUAUGGACUCAAGACAAUUUAGCUUUUGAGCUAUGUUGUCGCACAG